rnacentral:rRNA from 1 species
GCAAGUCGAGCGAGCUGAAUUCAAAGAUUCCUUCGGGAUGAUUUGUUGGACGCUAGCGGCGGAUGGGUGAGUAACACGUGGGCAAUCUGCCCUAAAGACUGGGAUACCACUUGGAAACAGGUGCUAAUACCGGAUAACAACAUGAAUCGCAUGAUUCAAGUUUGAAAGGCGGCGCAAGCUGUCACUUUAGGAUGAGCCCGCGGCGCAUUAGCUAGUUGGUGGGGUAAAGGCCUACCAAGGCAAUGAUGCGUAGCCGAGUUGAGAGACUGAUCGGCCACAUUGGGACUGAGACACGGCCCAAACUCCUACGGGAGGCAGCAGUAGGGAAUCUUCCACAAUGGACCA